rnacentral:rRNA from 1 species
AUUGAACGCUGGCGGCAGGCCUAACACAUGCAAGUCGAGCGGAUGAGCGGAGCUUGCUCCUUGAUUUAGCUGCGGACGGGUGAGUAAUUCCUAGGAAUCUGCCUGGUAUUGGGGGAUAACGUUCCGAAAGGAACGCUAAUACCGCAUACGUCCUACUUUAGAAAGCAGUGGAUCUUCGGGCCUUGCGCUAUCAGAUGAGCCUAGGUCGGAUUAGCUAGUUGGUGAGGUAAUGGCUCACCAAGGCGACGAUCCGUAACUGGUCUGAGAGGAUGAUCAGUCACACUGGAACUGAGACACGGUCCAGACUCCUACGGGAGGCAGCAGUGGGGAAUAUUGGACAAUGGGCGAAAGCCUGAUCCAGCCAUGCCGCGUGUGUGAAGAAGGUCUUCGGAUUGUAAAGCACUUUAAGUUGGGAGGAAGGGAAGUAAGCUAAUACCUUGAUGUUUUGACGUUACCGACAGAAUAAGCACCGGCUAACUUCGUG